rnacentral:rRNA from 1 species
GUUAUAACCGGCGAUUUCCGAAUGGGGAAACCCAGUGUGAUUCGUCACACUAUCAUUAACUGAAUCCAUAGGUUAAUGAGGCGAACCGGGGGAACUGAAACAUCUAAGUACCCCGAGGAAAAGAAAUCAACCGAGAUUCCCCCAGUAGCGGCGAGCGAACGGGGAGCAGCCCAGAGCCUGAAUCAGUGUGUGUGUUAGUGGAAGCGUCUGGAAAGGCGCGUGAUACAGGGUGACAGCCCCGUACACAAAAAUGCACAUGCUGUGAGCUCGAUGAGUAGGGCGGGACACGUGGUAUCCUGUCUGAAUAUGGGGGGACCAUCCUCCAAGGCUAAAUACUCCUGACUGACCGAUAGUGAACCAGUACCGUGAGGGAAAGGCGAAAAGAACCCCGGCGAGGGGAGUGAAAAAGAACCUGAAACCGUGUACGUACAAGCAGUGGGAGCACGCUUAGGCGUGUGACUGCGUACCUUUUGUAUAAUGGGUCAGCGACUUAUAUUCUGUAGCAAGGUUAACCGAAUAGGGGAGCCGAAGGGAAACCGAGUCUUAACUGGGCGUUAAGUUGCAGGGUAUAGACCCGAAACCCGGUGAUCUAGCCAUGGGCAGGUUGAAGGUUGGGUAACACUAACUGGAGGACCGAACCGACUAAUGUUGAAAAAUUAGCGGAUGACUUGUGGCUGGGGGUGAAAGGCCAAUCAAACCGGGAGAUAGCUGGUUCUCCCCGAAAGCUAUUUAGGUAGCGCCUCGUGAAUUCAUCUCCGGGGGUAGAGCACUGUUUCGGCAAGGGGGUCAUCCCGACUUACCAACCCGAUGCAAACUGCGAAUACCGGAGAAUGUUAUCACGGGAGACACACGGCGGGUGCUAACGUCCGUCGUGAAGAGGGAAACAACCCAGACCGCCAGCUAAGGUCCCAAAGUCAUGGUUAAGUGGGAAACGAUGUGGGAAGGCCCAGACAGCCAGGAUGUUGGCUUAGAAGCAGCCAUCAUUUAAAGAAAGCGUAAUAGCUCACUGGUCGAGUCGGCCUGCGCGGAAGAUGUAACGGGGCUAAACCAUGCACCGAAGCUGCGGCAGCGACGCUUAUGCGUUGUUGGGUAGGGGAGCGUUCUGUAAGCCUGUGAAGGUGUACUGUGAGGUAUGCUGGAGGUAUCAGAAGUGCGAAUGCUGACAUAAGUAACGAUAAAGCGGGUGAAAAGCCCGCUCGCCGGAAGACCAAGGGUUCCUGUCCAACGUUAAUCGGGGCAGGGUGAGUCGACCCCUAAGGCGAGGCCGAAAGGCGUAGUCGAUGGGAAACAGGUUAAUAUUCCUGUACUUGGUGUUACUGCGAAGGGGGGACGGAGAAGGCUAUGUUGGCCGGGCGACGGUUGUCCCGGUUUAAGCGUGUAGGCUGGUUUUCCAGGCAAAUCCGGAAAAUCAAGGCUGAGGCGUGAUGACGAGGCACUACGGUGCUGAAGCAACAAAUGCCCUGCUUCCAGGAAAAGCCUCUAAGCAUCAGGUAACAUCAAAUCGUACCCCAAACCGACACAGGUGGUCAGGUAGAGAAUACCAAGGCGCUUGAGAGAACUCGGGUGAAGGAACUAGGCAAAAUGGUGCCGUAACUUCGGGAGAAGGCACGCUGAUAUGUAGGUGAAGUCCCUCGCGGAUGGAGCUGAAAUCAGUCGAAGAUACCAGCUGGCUGCAACUGUUUAUUAAAAACACAGCACUGUGCAAACACGAAAGUGGACGUAUACGGUGUGACGCCUGCCCGGUGC